UAUCUGAAAUGAUGAGUCGCACACAGAAC
rnacentral:piRNA from 1 species